rnacentral:rRNA from 1 species
AUUGAACGCUGGCGGAAUGCUUUACACAUGCAAGUCGAACGGCAGCACGGGGGCAACCCUGGUGGCGAGUGGCGAACGGGUGAGUAAUACAUCGGAACGUGCCCAUGUCGUGGGGGAUAACGUAGCGAAAGCUACGCUAAUACCGCAUACGAUCUACGGAUGAAAGCGGGGGAUCGCAAGACCUCGCGCGAUUGGAGCGGCCGAUAUCAGAUUAGCUAGUUGGUGAGGUAAAGGCUCACCAAGGCGACGAUCUGUAGCUGGUCUGAGAGGACGACCAGCCACACUGGAACUGAGACACGGUCCAGACUCCUACGGGAGGCAGCAGUGGGGAAUUUUGGACAAUGGGCGCAAGCCUGACCCAGCAAUGCCGCGUGCAGGAUGAAGGCCUUCGGGUUGUAAACUGCUUUUGUACGGAACGAAACGGUGAGCUCUAAUACAGUUUGCUAAUGACGGUACCGUAAGAAUAAGCACCGGCUAACUACGUGCCAGCAGCCGCAGUAACAC